AGUGAACGCUGGCGGCGUGCUUAAUACAUGCAAGUCGAACGAUGAAGUCCUAGCUUGCUAGGAUGGAUUAGUGGCGCACGGGUGAGUAAUAUAUAGUUAAUCUGCCUUGCACUGAGGAACAACAGUUGGAAACGAUUGCUAAUACCUCAUACUCCAACUUUACAUAAGUUAAGUUGGGAAAGUCUUUUCGGUGCAAGAUGAGACUAUAUCGUAUCAGCUAGUUGGUAAGGUAAUGGCUUACCAAGGCUAUGACGCGUAACUGGUCUGAGAGGAUGAUCAGUCACAUUGGAACUGAGACACGGUCCAAACGCCUACGGGAGGCAGCAGUAAGGAAUAUUGUGCAAUGGGGGAAACCCUGACGCAGCAACGCCGCGUGGAGGAUGACACUUUUCGGAGCGUAAACUCCUUUUGUUAGGGAAGAAUAAUGACGGUACCUAACGAAUAAGCACCGGCUAACUCCGUG
rnacentral:rRNA from 1 species